AGAGUUUGAUCAUGGCUCAGGACGAACGCUGGCGGCGUGCCUAAUACAUGCAAGUCGAGCGCGGGAAGCGGACUCGUCACCCUUCGGGGUGUCUAGUCCGUGGAACGAGCGGCGGAUGGGUGAGUAUCACGUGGGCAACCUGCCUGUAAGAUUGGGAUAACUCGCGGAAACGUGAGCUAAUACCGAAUGAAGUCUUUCACCGCCUGGUGAAAGGAUGAAAGAUGGCUUUUAGCUAUCACUUACAGAUGGGCCCGCGGCGCAUUAGCUAGUUGGUGGGGUAAAGGCCUACCAAGGCGACGAUGCGUAGCCGACCUGAGAGGGUGAUCGGCCACACUGGGACUGAGACACGGCCCAGACUCCUACGGGAGGCAGCAGUAGGGAAUCUUCCGCAAUGGACGAAAGUCUGACGGAGCAACGCCGCGUGAGUGAUGAAGGUCUUCGGAUCGUGAAACUCUGUUGUCAGGGAAGAACAAGUUGUGUUCUAACAGGACAUGACCUUGACGGUACCUGACCAGAAAGCCCCGGCUAACUACGUGCCAGCAGCCGCGGUAAUACGUAGGGGGCAAGCGUUGUCCGGAAUUAUUGGGCGUAAAGCGCGCGCAGGCGGUCCUUUAAGUCUGAUGUGAAAGCCCACGGCUUAACCGUGGAGGGUCAUUGGAAACUGAGGGACUUGAGUACAGAAGAGGAGAGUGGAAUUCCACGUGUAGCGGUGAAAUGCGUAGAGAUGUGGAGGAACACCAGUGGCGAAGGCGACUCUCUGGUCUGUAACUGACGCUGAGGUGCGAAAGCGUGGGUAGCAAACAGGAUUAGAUACCCUGGUAGUCC
rnacentral:rRNA from 1 species